GAUGAAGAACGUAGCGAAAUGCGAUAAGUAGUGUGAAUUGCAGAAUUCAGUGAAUCAUCGAAUCUUUGAACGCACAUUGCGCCCCAUGGUAUUCCGUGGGGCAUGCCUGUUCGAGCGUCAUUUACCCCCUCAAGCUCCGCUUGGUGUUGGGCGUCUGUCCCGCUUCGCGCGCGGACUCGCCCCAAAGGUAUUGGCAGCGGUCGUGCCAGCUUCUCGCGCAGCACAUUGCGCUUCUCGAGGCACCGGUGGGCCCGCGUCCAUCAAGCUCACCCCCCCAGUUUGACCUCGGAUCAGGUAGGGAUACCCGCUGAACUUAAGCAUAUCAAUAAGCGGAGGA
rnacentral:misc_RNA from 1 species